rnacentral:rRNA from 1 species
GUGAAAGAGGUAGCAGGUGCGGGGGAAAAGUGUAUGAGGCAGUGGUUAUCAGUAAGUAUGUGGGGGAAAGCGAGCGUGAGGGGUGUUUUAAGGCAGAUGUGAAAGCGCAAGGGUGAACCGAGGAGGGUCAUUUGAAACUGGAAAACUUGAGUGCAGGAGAGGAAAGUGGAAUUCCAUGUGUAGCGGUGAAAUGCGCAGAGAUAUGGAGGAACACCAGUGGCGAAGGCGACUUUCUGGUCUGCAACUGACGCUGAUGUGCGAAAGCGUGGGGAUCAAACAGGAUUAGAUACCCUGGUAGUC